UUUUUUCACUGGGGCACAUUGAUCAUGGGAUUUCUACGGGCUUACCUCAUGAAAGACGCAUAAUCUCUGGUUAUAUAGAUGUUCCUUCCUGAGGAAACAGCCAUACUGAUGGACCCCACUUGGUGUAUGCUGUACAAAGUUUUCAUUCUCCCUGCUGAAGUGGAGCUACUGUGGUGUUGGCAAGUCUUCUCCUGGAAGGUUGGGAAAUUCACAGUGGAUGACAGUAAGGGCAGGCAUUCCUGACCGGUGUGGAAUCUCACUUGUAAUUUGGUUUUCAUGAGUAGCUCUAGUUCCUAAGCAGCCUAGCAGAAGACUAAGUGCAGUAUAAGGUGUGUUUCCCCUUCAGUCAUGCACAGUAACAAACUGACUCUGUUUUGUGCAUCCAAUGGAAGUUAGAAUUGGACAGAUGUAAGGUCCAUUCAAACACCACUGGUAUUUGAGAAAUACAGGGUGGGGCACUGGGAAAGAACUGGGUGGAUUAAUGCAGAAGUGGUUUUUCCUAAAAAUUGCAACUUUUUAAAAAGUAGUAAGGAUUUGUUGAAAAUUUAAACUGGAAGUAUAGUAGUAGGCUAUCCCACACUCAUCUUUCUCUAUCCUUCCUUCUCGGUCUCUUGACUGCUUUUUAACUUUUUGUAGCAUGUGGCUACCAUAACACUCACAUACACACUCCCCACCCCCCACCCCCCACCCCCACGUUCCUUGAACUCAUGAAUCUCCUGCCUCAGUUACAUGUUCUGGAGUUAAAGCAAAAUCCUUGUAUUUUGCUAUUACAUGGGUUUUUGUUUUGUGUUUAUGGGGGGAGCAGCAAGGGAUUGGAAGAUGACAAGAGUUCACUUGAUAAUGGACACAGACCAUGGCGACCUGGAGAGCACGUCUCUUACAUUACGCAUCUACUGUGCAUGGCUUCACUGAGACAAAGGUUCAUUCUAGGUUGCUUUGUGCUUUUAUAUUUGUAUCGACUCAUGGAAAUUUAACUUAAAUUUAUAACAUCAGACUGUGUAAUUACACCCUGGAAGAUAAAUUGUCUUCUGAAGCCAUUAAUAGUAUUUCAGAAGGUUCUUUUAGGUAAUCUCCUUAUUUGAUUAGAAUACCUUAUUUUUAUUUUAUGUAUAUGAGUAUUUUCCCUGCAUGUGUGUAUGUGUGUCUGUGCUGCUGUGGGACACUGGAUCUCCCAGAUCACCUAGAAGCUAGUUAAAGAAUGGUUGUAAGCUGCCCCGAGGGAGCUCAGAACCGACCUCAAGGUUUGGCAAGAAGAUCAAGUGUUUUAACCCAUUUUCCAGCUCCUCCAUAUUCCCGUCUUUAGAAGAAUUAGGUUCAUGUGUGUGUGUGUACCUGGGAGUCCUUGGAUGUGGAUCCUUUGUGCACAGGAGCCCCUGGAGCUUGGAAACUGCUCUGUGGGAACCAAAUUCAGAUCCUCUGCAGAAACAGUCAGCUCUCAACUGUGGAGCCAUCGCUAGCACUGCUAACUUAAGAAUUUUAAAUCACAAAAGUGAUACAAGAUACUAACUCUUUCUGACCAUUUAAGGAGUUUGGAAUGUUGGGAAUAUUCCUAUCUUCUCUAGAGAUCUCCAAAGAUAGUUUAUAUUUUAAAGCUCUGUGGUUAUUAGUAUGUCUUUGUUUCCUGUUCUGAACGGUGAGCAGUUCAGUUAUCUUUCGCUCCACCCCCACCUCUGCAAUUCAGUGAUGUUCCCCUCCACUCCCGCCUCUGCAAUUCAGUGAUCUUCUCCCUCCACCCCCACCUCUGCAAUUCAGUGAUCUUCCCCCUCCACCCCCACCUCUGUCUCCUGGUUUUGUGUAAGUGAAUUUUAGUUAUUGCAGGCAGUUUAUUAUUGCUUUACAUGUUUUUGUUCUUGUUCUUUCUCUUUCUUUUUGUUUUUUCAAGACAGGGUUAUUUUGUGUAGCCCUGGCUGACCUGGAGCUCACCUUGUAGAGUAGGCUGGCCUCGUGCUCAGAGGUUCACCUGCCUUCUGCUUUCAAUGUUCUUAAUGAUUUUAGGGAGUAUAUCCCUGUUCAUGAUUAGCUUUCUGAAGGAAAUCUGUCCCCCCUAAAUUUUUUUCUUUAACUAUCCUACCUUUAAUUUUUCUUUACAUUAUAAAAGAUAUUUAGUAAUUUCUCUCUUUUUUCUUUUUGAUUUUAAGAAGGGGGCUGAAGAGAGCGUUCAGUUGUUGGAGUACUUGCUACACAAGCUUGAGGACCUGUGGUUAGGCCCCAGACUCACGUUAAAGACAGAGUCAAAACAAAGCAAAAACAACGCAUGAUGCUUUUCUUUAGAGGAGGAGGCAGAUUGGGCUUGCUGGCCAGCAACCUAGCCUAUUCAGUGAGUUCCAGGUCAUUGAGAGACCCUGUCCCCUUUUCUUUCUUUAAAGC
rnacentral:lncRNA from 1 species